UACGUAGGGGGCAAGCGUUGUCCGGAUUUAUUGGGCGUAAAGAGCGUGUAGGCGGCCAGGUAGGUCUGCUGUGAAAACUCGAGGCUCAACCUCGAGACGUCGGUUGAAACCGUAUGGCUAGAGUCCGGAAGAGGAGAGUGGAAUUCCCGGUGUAGCGGUGAAAUGCGCAGAUAUCGGGAAGAACACCCGUGGCGAAGGCGGCUCUCUGGGACGGUACUGACGCUGAGACGCGAAAGCGUGGGGAGCAAACAGG
rnacentral:rRNA from 1 species